rnacentral:rRNA from 1 species
UACGGAGGAGGCAAGCGUUAUCCGGAAUUAUUGGGCGUAAAGCGCACGCAGGCGGCUCUUCAAGUCUGACGUGAAAUCUCUCGGCUUAACCGGGAGCGGUCGUUGGAAACUGAAGGGCUUGAGGCGAUGAGAGGGGUGUGGAAUUCCCGGUGUAGUGGUGGAAUGCGUAGAUAUCGGGAGGAACAUCAGUGGCGAAAGCGGCACCCUGGCAUUAGCCUGACGCUCAUGUGCGAAAGCGUGGGGAGCGAACGGG